GAUGAACGCUGGCGGCGUGCUUAACACAUGCGAGUCGAACGAAGCACUUUAUUUGAUUUCCUUCGGGACUGAUUAUUUUGUGACUGAGUGGCGGACGGGUGAGUAACGCGUGGGUAACCUGCCUUGUACAGGGGGAUAACAGUUGGAAACGGCUGCUAAUACCGCAUAAGCGCACAGCAUCGCAUGAUGCAGUGUGAAAAACUCCGGUGGUAUAAGAUGGACCCGCGUUGGAUUAGCUAGUUGGUGAGGUAACGGCCCACCAAGGCGACGAUCCAUAGCCGAGCUGAGAGGGUGACCGGACACAUUGGGACUGAGACACGGCCCAAACUCCUACGGGAGGCAGCAGUGGGGAAUAGUGCACAAUGGGCGAAAGCCUGAUGCAGCGACGCCGCGUGAGCGAAGAAGUAUUUCGGUAUGUAAAGCUCUAUCAGCAGGGAAGAUAAUGACGGUACCUGACUAAGAAGCACCGGCUAAAUACGUG
rnacentral:rRNA from 1 species